rnacentral:rRNA from 1 species
GAUGAACGCUGGCGGCGUGCUUAACACAUGCAAGUCGAACGGAAAGGCCCUGCCUUUGGGGGGUGCUCGAGUUGCGAACGGGUGAGUAACACGUGAGUAACCUGCCCUUGACUUUGGGGUAACUUCAGGAAACUGGGGCUAAUAACGGAUAGGAGCUCCUGCUGCAUGGUGGGGGUUGGAAAGUUUCGGCGGUUGGGGAUGGACUCGCGGCUUAUCAGCUUGUUGGUGGGGUAGUGGCUUACCAAGGCUUUGACGGGUAGCCGGCCUGAGAGGGUGACCGGCCACAUUGGGACUGAGAUACGGCCCAGACUCCUACGGGAGGCAGCAGUGGGGAAUAUUGCACAAUGGGCGGAAGCCUGAUGCAGCAACGCCGCGUGCGGGAUGACGGCCUUCGGGUUGUAAACCGCUUUCGCCUGUGACGAAGCGUGAGUGACGGUAAUGGGUAAAGAAGCACCGGCUAACUACGUG